GAUGAACGCUAGCUACAGGCUUAACACAUGCAAGUCGAGGGGCAGCGGGAUUGAAGCUUGCUUCAAUUGCCGGCGACCGGCGCACGGGUGAGUAACGCGUAUCCAACCUGCCCAUCACUUGGGGAUAACCUUGUGAAAGUAAGACUAAUACCCAAUGACGUCUCUAGAAGACAUCUGAAAGAGAUUAAAGAUUUAUCGGUGAUGGAUGGGGAUGCGUCUGAUUAGCUUGUUGGCGGGGUAACGGCCCACCAAGGCGACGAUCAGUAGGGGUUCUGAGAGGAAGGUCCCCCACAUUGGAACUGAGACACGGUCCAAACUCCUACGGGAGGCAGCAGUGAGGAAUAUUGGUCAAUGGACGAGAGUCUGAACCAGCCAAGUAGCGUGCAGGAUGACGGCCCUAUGGGUUGUAAAACUGCUUUUAUUAAGGGAAUAAAGUGAGUCUCGUGAGACUUUUUGUCAUGUACCUUA
rnacentral:rRNA from 1 species